UAGAUGGGUGAAUUGUUUAUUUUUUGGUAUUGCAUAUCAAGAAUUGAGAAUUUCAUUUUUAUGAAAAAUAGAAAUAAAAGGGUGAAGGAGAUAGAGUUUUUGUUGUUUUAAAAUGAAAGUUAUAUUCUUUAGUGUUGAUAUAUCGACUUUUAUGAUAUUUGUUUGAAGGGGCAGUAUUAGAAAAUUGUAGUUUAAAGUGAAAGUUUGAAAUUUUAUGAUUUAAAGUGUCAGUAGUUGUUUUAUAACGAUUUUUUAGGUUUUUGUUGUGAUUUUGAGGACUUUUAAAGUUUUUUAAAAGUUUAUAGUAAUUUUAUAAGUAGUUUUUUGAAGUAGAGUGAUUAUAAUGAAAGUUAUUGGAGAAAUAGAGUUCUGAUUAAAUGUUUGUUAAAAUCUUAGGUUUUUAUUUAAAAUUCGCCUCUGCUCCAUGAGAUUUUUAAAUAGCAGUCUUAGCGUGAGGACAUUAAGGUAGCAAAAUAAUUUGUAUUUUUAUUGAAUUCCAGUAUGAAUGGGGGUUUGGUCAGUACUUUUCUUUAUUGGUUAUGAAUUUAGAAUCUUCUUAAGAAAUAGAAGUUUUAUUUAGACAAAGAUAAGUCUUUGGAAAUUCUAUUAAUUUUUGAGAUUAAGUUUUCUAGGGUAGAAUUGUUUGUAAUUGUGCUUGCUAAAAUUAGAGUAAAGAAUUACUCCAGAGUUAACAGAAAAUCAUAUCUUAUCUAGAUCUUAUAGUAGGAUAAGUUUUACAUCGAUGUUGUAUUUUAUUAUUAAAAGGAGUAGAAGAUUUUUGAGUUGAGACUGUUCUUCUUGAUAUAAAUAAACGUGAUAUUAGUUUAGCCCAUCGUGAGAUAGGGCGGUUUAUCUUGCUAAUUAAUAGGUUUUAAUUUAAUUAGUACGAAAGGAAUAUUAUAUAGGUUUUAAACCUUUUUAAGUUAUAAUUAGCUUAU
rnacentral:rRNA from 1 species